UACGUAGGGUGCGAGCGUUGUCCGGAAUUAUUGGGCGUAAAGAGCUCGUAGGCGGUUUGUUGCGUCUAUCGUGAAAACCUGCGGCUUAACUGUGGGCUUGCGGUGGAUACGGGCAGACUUGAGUUCGGUAGGGGAGACUGGAAUUCCUGGUGUAGCGGUGAAAUGCGCGGAUAUCAGGAGGAACACCGGUGGCGAAGGCGGGUCUCUGGGCCGAUACUGACGCUGAGGAGCGAAAGCGUGGGGAGCGAACAGG
rnacentral:rRNA from 1 species